GACGAACGCUGGCGGCGUGCUUAACACAUGCAAGUCGAACGGAAAGGCCCUGCUUUUGUGGGGUGCUCGAGUGGCGAACGGGUGAGUAACACGUGAGUAACCUGCCCUUGACUUUGGGAUAACUUCAGGAAACUGGGGCUAAUACCGGAUAGGAGCUCCUGCUGCAUGGUGGGGGUUGGAAAGUUUCGGCGGUUGGGGAUGGACUCGCGGCUUAUCAGCUUGUUGGUGGGGUAUUGGCUUACCAAGGCUUUGACGGGUAGCCGGCCUGAGAGGGUGACCGGCCACAUUGGGACUGAGAUACGGCCCAGACUCCUACGGGAGGCAGCAGUGGGGAAUAUUGCACAAUGGGCGGAAGCCUGAUGCAGCAACGCCGCGUGCGGGAUAACGGCCUUCGGGUUGUAAACCGCUUUCGCCUGUGACGAAGCGUGAGUGACGGUAAUGGGUAAAGAAGCACCGGCUAACUACGUG
rnacentral:rRNA from 1 species